rnacentral:rRNA from 1 species
AAGCUCGUAGUUGAAUUUCGGGGUUAGUAGGUUGGUCAUGCCUCUGGUAUGUACUGGUCUCACUGAUUCCUCCUUCCUUAUGAACCGUAACGCCAUUAAUUUGGUGUUGCGGGGAAUUUGGACUGUUACUUUGAAAAAAUUAGAGUGUUUAAAGCAAGCUAACGCUUGAAUACAUUAGCAUGGAAUAAUGAAAUAGGACGUUCGAUCUUAUUUUAGUUUGGUUUUCUUAGGAUUGACGUAAUGAUUAAUAGGGAUAGUUGGG